rnacentral:rRNA from 1 species
UACGGAGGGUGCAACCGUUGCUCGGAAUCAUUGGGCGUAAAGCGCACGUAGGCGGUCGGCUAUGUCGGAUGUGAAAGCCUCGGGCUUAACCCGAGAAGGGCAUCCGAAACUGGCCGGCUUGAGUACGGAAGAGGGUCUCGGAAUUCCCGGUGUAGAGGUGAAAUUCGUAGAUAUUCGGAGGAACACCAGUGGCGAAGGCGGCUCACUGGCUCGAUACUGACGCUGAGGUGCGAAAGCGUGGGGAGCAAACAGG